UACGGGGGGGGGCAAGCGUUUGUUCGGAAUUACUGGGCGUAAAGGGCUCGUAGGCGGCCAACUAAGUCAGACGUGAAAUCCCUCGGCUUAACCGGGGAACUGCGUCUGAUACUGGAUGGCUUGAGUUUGGGAGAGGGAUGCGGAAUUCCAGGUGUAGCGGUGAAAUGCGUAGAUAUCUGGAGGAACACCGGUGGCGAAGGCGGCAUCCUGGACCGGUAUUGACGCUGAGGAGCGAAAGCCAGGGGAGCAAACGGG
rnacentral:rRNA from 1 species